rnacentral:rRNA from 1 species
UACGUAGGGGGCUAGCGUUGUCCGGAAUCAUUGGGCGUAAAGAGCGUGUAGGCGGUUCGGUAAGUCUGCUGUGAAAGUCCAGGGCUCAACCCUGGAAUGCCAGUGGAAACUGCCGAGCUAGAGUCCGGAAGAGGCGAGUGGAAUUCCUGGUGUAGCGGUGGAAAUGCGCAGAUAUCAGGAGGAACACCAAUAGGCGAAGCAGCUCGCUGGGACGGUACUGACGCU